rnacentral:rRNA from 1 species
CACGUAGUUAGCCGUGGCUUAUUCAAGGGGUACCGUCUUCUGCUCUUCCCCCUUAAAAGAAGUUUACAACCCGGAAGCCUUCUUCCUUCACGCGGCGUUGCUGGGUCAGACUUGCGUCCAUUGCCCAAUAUUCCCCACUGCUGCCUCCCGUAGGAGUCUGGGCCGUAUCUCAGUCCCAAUGUGGCCGGCCAACCUCUCAGUCCGGCUACUGAUCGUCGCCUUGGUGGGCCGUUACCUCACCAACUAGCUAAUCAGACGCGAGGCCAUCUUCCAGCGAUAAAUCUUUGACAUCAGUGCCAUGCGACACCAAUGCGUCAUGCGGUAUUAGCAGUCGUUUCCAACUGUUGUCCCCCUCUGGAAGGCAGGUUCCUCACGCGUUACUCACCAGUCCGCCACUAAGCAUUCCCAUCCGUUGUCCGAAAACUCCUUCAAGGGUGCUCCGUUCGACUUGCAUGUGUUAAGCACGCCGCCAGCGUUCGUCCUGAGCCAGGAUCAAACUCU